rnacentral:lncRNA from 12 species
AUGUCCCAGAGACCCCAACCUGACCACAAGAGCACCCAGCCAAAUGUCCUUCCAGCAGCUCCCACAAAUACCCAAGAGGAGACCCAAGGUUUUCAGUCCAUUCGCCACAGUCGCCGGGUCAGCAUCCAGGAACCCCUGCCCAUUAUCCAUAAUCGCCGGGUCAGCAUCCAAGAACCUCUGCCCACUAUCCACAAUCGCCGGGUCAGCAUCCAGGAACCCCUGCCCAUUAUCCAUAAUCGCCGGGUCAGCAUCCAAGAACCUCUGCCCACUAUCCACAAUCGCCGGGUCAGCAUCCAAGAGUCUCUGAUAGUCACCAGUCACUGGGCCAGUACCCAUGACACACCAUCUGUUAUCAACAGCCGCCAAGUCAGUAUUGAGAAUGCACCAGCCACUAUUAGUGGUCACCAGGCCAGUAUCCAAGGCGCACCGUCAGUUACCUACAGUCGCCGUUUCAAUACCCGAGAUGUUCCACCCAUUUUCCAAACUCCCUACAUCAACACCCAAAACUCUCCGUCAAUCACUCACACCCCAUUGUCCAAUAUGGAAUCGGUUAUCUACAAUAGCAGUCGAGCCAGUAGCAACGACAGCUGGCCAACAAGCUGGAGUCCCCACCUAAGCAUUCAAGGCCUCACAUUGCCAAACCAGGCCAGAGUCAAUGUCCCCCCUUCAAUUACUCACAGCCCCACGGUCAGUGUCAAAAGCGUUGAUUCAGUCAUCUGGACCUCCCAGGAGAUUUUCAAAGACUCUGUGAACAGCUCCCAAUUCUAUCAAAAUCCUCUAGACAAUAUCCAGAGCACACAGACAAGCAUAUCCACUGAGAUGGAUUCUGGCGGGUUUCAGAACAAGGGUAGACGCAGGCAUUCACAGCUGCCCCUGGCCUGGAAGCUGCUGCAUGGAGCCAAGAAGAUCAGCCGCCAGAUGAGCCUGGCACUGACCCUGGCUGGCAUGGUGAUCAUCAGUCUCAUCUCUCUGGGCCAGCCCUGGAUGCAUUUCCAGGUGCCACUCACACCUCCUGGGCACCCUGAUGGCUCCCUGACCAUCCACAUCAACACCAUCUUCUUUAUGCAGUGCCCUGACAUCUACUGCAUACAGGAGUACGACCAGAAUGCUUACUUGUUGGACUUCGCCUGGGCCUUUCUCAUCCUUGCCAGCAUCGCUAGCUUCUUCCUCUGCAUCAUACUUAUAAAUAUCAUCUUCUUCACCAGCUCCAACUUGCGCAUGCUGGACUUCUCCAACGUCAUCAUCAGCAUCCUGGCAGGGACCAGCAUGGUAUUGGGGAUCCUGUUCUACCUGAUGCAGGCCCAUGAAUUUCUACAGGAAGGCAUGACCUACAGGCUGGGGCGCAGCUUCUACCUGGCAUGGAUCAGCGUCUUUCUCUUCCUGAUGACUGGUUUCUUUUCCUAUCUGAACUACAUGAAUUUCUGGUCCAUCCUGGCGCUCCAGGCCAUCUGGACUUAGGACACCUCUUCAGGCCUGCUCCCAUAGCUUCCUGCCAAGCACAUGACAACCCUACUCUCUAGUCCUCCGCCCCAACUGAGAAUCUCGCCUUUUUCAGUGUCCUCCAGAUCCUCCCACUCAGAUUAAUAAUCAGUAUGUUUAAAUAAUCUAUAUUUUUUGCCCAGAAUGUUCUCUUAGCUCAGUACCUUGUAAGUGUUCUGGGGCAAUACCAUCGCUCCCUGGGCCCAUUCCUUGGGCCCUCUGGCGUUGAGGGACAGGUGAGAGAGGGAGCUCAGGAGAAAGACAUUGCAGGAUACAUGGCCAACAAACAGACCGAUCUGAUGGUGCCUGGCAUAAAACACAGGUGGUGCCAAACAACAUUUGUUGAAUAGCUGAUUCUCUCCAGGCCUUUAGGGCUUCAUCUUUUAAUUUCAUGACCCGCAAUAAUGUGCCCCCUCUUUUUUUUCUAAAGAUUUUAUUUAUUUUUUCAUGAAAGACACACAGAGAGAGGCAGAGACAUAGGCAGAGGAAGACGCAGGACCCAAUCCCAGGACCCCAGGAUCGUGACCUGAGCUGAAGGCAGACGCUCAACCACUAAGCCACCCAGGUGUCCCUAAUAUGCCCCUUCUGAGGCAAAUUCUCCCGGCGCCCACACUUUACCUCCUGUCUUGACCGGCAGCCCCUGUCACCACCUCCUUUUGUCCCCUAACACACCCACACCAGCACAGAGCUAUUCUUUUUAAAAAUUAUCUAUUUAUCCAUCUACCUAUUUUUUUAAGAUUUUAUUUAUUCAUGAGAGACACACAGAGAGAGGCUGAGACAUAGGCAGAGGGAGAAGCAGGCUCCCUGUGGGGAGCCCAUUGCAGGACUCGAUCCCAGGACCCCGGAAUCAUGACCUGAGCUGA